rnacentral:rRNA from 1 species
AGUGAACGCUGGCGGUAGGCCUAACACAUGCAAGUCGAACGGCAGCACAGCAAGAGCUUGCUCUUACGGGUGGCGAGUGGCGGACGGGUGAGGAAUACAUCGGAAUCUACUUUUUCGUGGGGGACAACGUAGGGAAACUUACGCUAAUACCGCAUACGACCUACGGGUGAAAGCAGGGGAUCUUCGGACCUUGCGCGAUUGAAUGAGCCGAUGUCGGAUUAGCUAGUUGGCGGGGUAAAGGCCCACCAAGGCGACGAUCCGUAGCUGGUCUGAGAGGAUGAUCGGCCACACUGGAACUGAGACACGGUCCAGACUCCUACGGGAGGCAGCAGUGGGGAAUAUUGGACAAUGGGCGCAAGCCUGAUCCAGCCAUACCGCGUGGGUGAAGAAGGCCUUCGGGUUGUAAAGCCCUUUUGUUGGGAAAGAAAAGCAGCAGGUUAAUACCCCGCUGUUCUGACGGUACCCAAAGAAUAAGCACCGGCUAACUUCGUG